AAAAAUAUGAGAAAUGCCUGAACCGAGGAUGGAAAGAGGUUCGUGGUCUAUUAGGUAGAUUGAACUACAUGUCAUGGUUCACAUCUCUUCUAACAGCCACGAGGGAACCCAUUCAAGAAAAAGAGAUCAAACGGUCAGGUGAAAUAAUGAUUGCCAAGGGGCAUUGGAAAGAAUAAAAAAAAGAAUGACUAGCAGGAGCCUCUGAUUCUGAUACUUCCUGUGAAAGGAGCAAUUGUUAAUCUGUACCUGAC
rnacentral:lncRNA from 1 species